AGGAAUGGUAUCUCCAGCUAAAGUAGCAUAUGUGGCUCUGAAAUAUCACUUGGCGAUACAAUCGGUGUUGGUACCCCAGGUACUGUCAUUCCAAUGUCAUGUUGUUGAUUUCCUUCACAGAUGGGGAUCAGCACAGUCGAUUCAUCAGUUUCUUGUCUUGGGGGCUGCCCAUAUGCCAAGGGUGCAUCUGGAAAUGUUGCAACUGAGCAUGUUGUGUACAUGCUAGAUGGGCUCGGUGUGAAGACAAAUGUGAAUCUUGGUAAGCUCAUGUUGGCUGGGGAAUUUAUCUCUAAGCAUCUGGAACACUCAUCUGGCUCAAAGACCGCAAUUGCCUUGAGUAAAGACACAGCUCGAGCCUCCAAGCUAUGAGAUGAGAAUGAUGUGGGAAGCUUGAUGAUCUAAUUGAG